UCCGUAGGCGGGUAAUUAAGUCAGAGGUGAAAACCCACAGCUUAACUGUGGAACUGCCUUAGAUACUGGUUAUCUUGAGUUUUAGUGAAGUAGAUAGAAUGUGUAGUGUAGCGGUGAAAUGCAUAGAUAUUACACAGAAUACCGAUUGCGAAGGCAGUCUACUAACUAACAACUGACGCUAAUGGACGAAAGCGUGGGGAGCGAACAGGAUUAGAUACCCUGGUAGUCC
rnacentral:rRNA from 1 species